rnacentral:rRNA from 1 species
CGUGCUUAACACAUGCAAGUCGAACGAUGAACCCCGCUUGCGGGGGGAUUAGUGGCGAACGGGUGAGUAACACGUGAGUAACCUGCCCUUAACUCUGGGAUAAGCCUGGGAAACUGGGUCUAAUACUGGAUAUUGACUUUACCUCGCAUGGGGUUUGGUUGAAAGAUUUAUUGGUUUUGGAUGGACUCGCGGCCUAUCAGCUUGUUGGUGAGGUAAUGGCUCACCAAGGCGACGACGGGUAGCCGGCCUGAGAGGGUGACCGGCCACACUGGGACUGAGACACGGCCCAGACUCCUACGGGAGGCAGCAGUGGGGAAUAUUGCACAAUGGGCGAAAGCCUGAUGCAGCGACGCCGCGUGAGGGAUGACGGCCUUCGGGUUGUAAACCUCUUUCAGUAGGGAACAAGGCCAGUGUUUAGUUGGUUGAGGGUACCUGCAGAAGAAGCGCCGGCUAACUACGUGCCAGCAGCCGCGGUAAUACGUAGGGCGCAAGCGUUAUCCGGAAUUAUUGGGCGUAAAGAGCUCGUAGGCGGUUUGUCGCGUCUGCCGUGAAAGUCCGGGGCUCAACUCCGGAUCUGCGGUGGGUACGGGCAGACUAGAGUGAUGUAGGGGAGACUGGAAUUCCUGGUGUAGCGGUGAAAUGCGCAGAUAUCAGGAGGAACACCGAUGGCGAAGGCAGGUCUCUGGGCAUUAACUGACGCUGAGGAGCGAAAGCAUGGGGAGCGAACAGGAUUAGAUACCCUGGUAGUCCAUGCCGUAAACGUUGGGCACUAGGUGUG